AUUCGUAAGGUGAACUGCGGAAGGAUCAUU
rnacentral:rRNA from 1 species